GAGUCUUGCUCUAUCGCCCACGAUGGAGUGCAGUGGCAUGAUCUCGGCUCACUGCAACCUCCGCCUCCUGGGUUCAAGCGAUUCUCCUGCCUCAGCCUCCCGAGUAGCUGGGAUUACAGGUGCAUGUCACCAUGCCCAGCUAAUUUUCUGUAUUUUUAGUAGAGACAGUGUUUCACCAUGCUGGCCAGGCUGGUCUCGAACUCCUGACCUCAUGAUCUGCCCACCUCAGCCUCCCAAAGUGCUGGGAUUACAGGUGUGAGCCACCGUGCCCAGCCAGCCUGGUUAAUUUUUAAAAAUUUUUUGUAGCGGCAGAGUCUCACUAUGUUGCCCGGGCUGGUCUCUAACUCCUGGCCUCAAGUGAUCUUCCCGCCUCAGUCUCCCAAAGUGUUGGGAUUACAGGUGUGAACCACUGUACCUGGCCUCAAAUUUCUGACUUGCUGAUCUGAGCUGUAAGUAGACAAGGUCUAAAGACUGGAGGGUUUGAGAGCAGCUGAGAAGAUCACUGGUGAUGAGGAGCCCGAUACGGUUUUGUUCUAUGUCUCCACGCAAAUCUCACCUUGAAUUUUACUAAUCCCCACGUGUCAAGGGUGGGGCCAGGUGGAGGUAACUGAAUCAUGGGGACAGUUUCCCCCAGGCUGUUCUCAUGAUGGUGAGUUCCCACGAGAUCUGAUGGUUUUAUAAGGGGCUUCCCCCUUUGCUCAGCACUCAUUCUCUCUCCUGCCGCCCUGUGAAGAGGAGCCUUCCACCAUAACUGUAAGGUUCCUGAGGCCUCCCCAGCCAUGCAGAACUGUGAGUCAAUUAAACCCCUUUUCUUUAUAAAUUAUCCAGUCUUGGGUAUGUCUUUAUUAGCAGCAGACUAAUACAAACCCAAAACCCAAGCAGUCACAGAAACAGAUGGGUUGUCUAAUGAAGCUGAAGCAGGGUGGCAAGCAAUGAGCCAGUCAUUAAUGAUGAGUAGGAGUGAUGGGAAAGUCAGCAGAGCACAGUUACAAGGUGGACAAAAGGAUGUGUCUUACCCAUGGCUGAUGCUCCAAAGAGGAGGGUUAUCACACGAGGGGGGAAAAGCAAUGAUCCAGGACAGCCAUGACAAGAAUGCGUGCCACCAAUCCCACCUUCUGAACAGUUACAUCUCUGUAAUGUUAAAACUAAUCUACCUGAUCAGGUCAUUCCUGCCAAUUUUUAAUCUGGAAGAUGCACAUCAAUCUUUCCCCUGCCUUUAUACCAAAUAAAUACUAUUUCUACAGGUUUUCCAAGUAAAAUCUUCAAUGAAUGGAAAAUCUAUCUUAAGGCUUUCAAAAAGGAUCACACAUUUACCCACAAGCUUACAGGGUAUAAGUAAUUUUUAUUAAUUUUUUAAUGCCAAGUGUUUAUUAUAUCUUAUACCAACUGGAAACAAAGUUUUGCCUCAAAAUUAGAAAUCUAUUUCCUUGUCAUUUGUACUGGAGAUGCAGGGAUCUGGUAUAUUUUUACUGUCUCCUGGUCUUCCAAUAUUUUGUCACUCAUUUAACUUACAGUCUCAUAUAUGAUGCAUCGUUUUAUGUUACUAGAGGUAUUUCAUGGGGAAGUUUAGCUCUUCUGCUCCUCUGAAUCAUCUUGUCUCCUUUGGGAAAAUUUAAUUGAUAUCCACACCUCUGUUUUCCAUUUUCCCAACUGAAUGCUCCCCUGUUCUGCCAUAGCACUCUAUGGAUAGCUCUGUUAUUGCACUUAAUACACUCAAAUGUCAACCAUAGCAAACUUUGUAACCUUGGGCAAGCACUUAAUCUCUCUGGGUCUCAACUUACUUAUGUAUAAAAUGGAGAAAAUAACAGUAAGAACUUCAUCAGGCUAUUUAUCCACUCAUGAGCUAAUGCCCAGAAAGUAGUUAGAACAGCACCUUCCAUAUAGUAAGUGCUACUGAAGUUUUUGCUAUUAGUAUCAUGAUAUGCAUUUGCACGUCUCUCCUUUCAGAUUUGUCUGCACCUUUAAAAUGGGGACUAGGUCUUAAUCUCUGUAUCCGCAGUGCCUAGUAUAGUGAAUAAAUGCAUGCAUCAAUUGAUCAGUUUUUUUUUUUUUUUUUUCUGAGACAGGUUCUCUCUCUGUCAUCCAGGCUGAAGUGCAGUGGUGCCCACUGCAGCCUCAACAUCCUGGACUCAAUCAAUCCUCCCAUCUCAGCUGUCCCUGUAGCUGGGACUACAGGUCAUUUCAAAGCCUUAGAAACUGGCCUCAACAGUAACUGCAGGAAGCAUACUUGUCAGAUCUGAGCAAUAAAAAUACACCCUGACUGCUGAGCCUGGAGCACGGGAGAGCCUACAGCUAACCAGGGAAGACAUGCUUUAGAUAAAGUCCUUCCAACAUCUUGCAACCUGGAUAACAGCCAAGUCCUAUUCAUCCCUCUCAACCUGGCUCUUCCAUGCCCUCCUGCAAGGCCUUCCCCAGCCCUUCUCUGUGGAUGCCCCUCCUCCGUUUUGAAGCAGACUGGAUACCAGCCCCACCCCGCCGCCAUGCUUCUUUUAUCCUUGCAGCUUCACUCCUGAGGCUGGCGAGACCACGAACCCACCAGGAGAAAUGAACUCCAGACGGGAAGAAUAAACAACUCCAGAUGCACCACCUUAAGAGCUGUAACACGCACCGCCAAGGUUUGCAGAUUCAUUCCUGAAGCCAGCAAGACCACGAACCCACCAGAAGGAAGAAACUCUGAACACGUCCGAACAUCAGAAGGAACAAACUCUGGAUACACCAUCUUUAAGAACUGUAACACUCACCACGAGGGUCCAUGACUUCAUUCUUGAAGUCAGUGAGACCAAGAACCCACCAAUUCUGGACACAAUUUCAUUUGGUGAGCAGUCCAGAUUACAUGUGUGUACACUGUAAUGAUCAGCUAAGGACUGACUGCUUUUAGCUCCUUCACCCGUUCUCACCUCUGAGGUUCAGUAAUAAAUGGCUCCUACCAACUAACUGAAGUAUCAAUCAAAAUCUUAAAGGUAUUCAUUCAUUAUACGGUAUUUACACCCCCCUUAAAAUGCAAAAUUUAUAGUUUUAUUAAUACAAACAUCCAGACAAGAAAAUAAGCAGACUAGCAAGAUAAAACCAGAGCCUUCAAAAAUUACACAAAGCAUACAAAUAUGUAGGCCAAAUGGUUAAAGUGAGCCAUAAACUUGGCCCUACACUCUAGUGACAAA
rnacentral:lncRNA from 1 species